AUUGAACGCUGGCGGAAUGCUUUACACAUGCAAGUCGAACGGCAGCACGGAGAGCUUGCUCUCUGGUGGCGAGUGGCGAACGGGUGAGUAAUAUAUCGGAACGUGUCCAAUAAUGGGGGAUAACGAGUCGAAAGAUUCGCUAAUACCGCAUACGCCCUACGGGGGAAAGCAGGGGAUCGCAAGACCUUGCGUUAAUGGAGCGGCCGAUAUCUGAUUAGCUAGUUGGUGAGGUAAAGGCUCACCAAGGCGACGAUCAGUAGCUGGUUUGAGAGAACGACCAGCCACACUGGAACUGAGACACGGUCCAGACUCCUACGGGAGGCAGCAGUGGGGAAUUUUGGACAAUGGGGGCAACCCUGAUUCAGCCAUUCCGCGUGAGUGAAGAAGGCCUUCGGGUUGUAAAGCUCUUUCGCAAGGGAAGAAAACUUAUGAUCGAAUAAAUCAUGAGGUUGACGGUACCUUGAUAAGAAGCACCGGCUAACUACGUGCCAGCCGCCGCCGUAA
rnacentral:rRNA from 1 species